rnacentral:misc_RNA from 1 species
UGUGGGAGCUGGCUUGCCUGCGAUGCAGACACCUCGGUGUAUUAGGUACACCCAGUUGAUGCUAUCGCAGGCAAGCCAGCUCCCACA